rnacentral:rRNA from 1 species
GAUGAACGCUGGCGGCGUGUCUAAGGCAUGCAAGUCGAAUGGGUUAGACCCAUGGCAAACGGGUGAGUAACACAUUGGUAACCUACCCCUGAUUCGUGAAUAACUCGGAGAAAUCUGGGAUAAUACACGAUGGUCUCUGAUUUCACAUGAAAUAGGAGUAAAGAUUUAUCGAUCAGGGAGGGGCCUAUGGCCUAUCAGCUUGUUGGUAGUGUAAAAGACUACCAAGGCUCUGACGGGUAGCGGGUGUGAGAGCAUGACCCGCCUCACGGGGACUGAGACACUGCCCUGACUCCUACGGGAGGCUGCAGUCAAGAAUCUUCCACAAUGGCCGAAAGGCUGAUGGAGCGACGCCGCGUGACCGAAGAAGCCCUUUGGGGUGUAAAGGUCUUUUAUAAGGGACGAAUCAAUGACGGUACCUUAUGAAUAAGGGGCUGCUAAUCACG